rnacentral:ribozyme from 14 species
AAUCAUACAAUGGAAGGAAAAAGGAGACGUCAUCUUUCUGUUUUAGUAACUACAGUCUUCUUUUGUUUUGUUUCUCUCUCUCUCUCUCU